rnacentral:tRNA from 1 species
CUGCUGCUUCAGACGGUAAAGAACUUGCCUGCAAAGCAGGAGACCCAGGUUUGAUCCCUGGGUAGCAAA